GCCAGGUGUGGUGGCGAGUGCCUGUAAUCCCAGCUACUUGGGAGGCUGAGGCGGGAGAAUUGCUUGAACCCAGGAGGCAGAGGUUGCAGUGAGCCGAGAUUGCGCCACUGCACUCCAGCCUGGGCAACAGAGUAAGAUCCUGUCUCAA
rnacentral:SRP_RNA from 1 species